rnacentral:lncRNA from 1 species
UAACAUUUGGGUAUCACCAAGGUUUGUCUUUCUCUUUUAUUUUGGCCAACUUUUUGAUUCACGGAAAAGAAGUCCCUUCAUUUUGCAGGUAAAGGUGGGAAUAAGGAAUUUGUAAAUAAGGAAAUUCUUGCAAUUGUUGUUGUUUAAUGAUCUCUUAGUCAAGUAGUCCUUCUCUUCUCUCAAAAAUAUUUAGUGAGGACGGAUAUAUUAUGUUGAUGUAAACUGUGAUCUGUCCAAGUUGCUCUAAUUCGUUCAAUGAAAUUGGUUAGGAUCUUCAAGAAUUAAUUUCAAAACCUGGUAACUAUAGGGACUUGUUAUUUCAGUUUACUGUUGUAGUUUUACCAAGGAUUUUGCUGGCAUAUUUUCAAAGAUUUUUGAAGCAUUCAAUCACGGAACAGGGAUUGCUCUUAACAUAAUAAUAACUUCAUUAAAUUUUAGACAAAACAACUCCUCUCAUGCCAGGGAAAGAAAACUUUCUAUAUUCUGAUGCCACCAAUUAGCACUUGCUAUGACAUUUUGCAACGACCAUAGUGUUGAUCUAUGCAUAAGAAUUUUGUAUGCUUAAAAAUGAUAAUGUGGUACACAUAGUUGAAUAACAAUACACACUACUUAUUACUAUUGGAAUUUAUGUAAAUAUGAUGGGUGUAGUUUCAGCAGCAAAUAAACAAAUUCCCAUCAGUUGGAGCUGCUUUUCCUCUUCCUCAAUUCUUCUAUUAAGGAAAUCAAACUGUUGUUGGACGAUCCGCCUUUCUCCACAGCUUCUUUAGCCAGUUUUCCUAAGGCAGCUGCACGGGUUCUCAUCUCCUCAGCUUCCUGACCAACCAUCAGUUUGGUCACUGCUGUCUGAAUGUUUUCCCUGCUUAUUGAGACUGUGCUAUCUGGUCUGUAGGACCAGGCCCGAGCACCUACGGGGAUUCCUAUCUUCAAAAUCUGUGUGGGGAGCUUUUCAUUAAAAAAUUGCUCAGCUGACAGUGGCCAUGUGACCAUUGGCACUCCAGCAGUUACUCCCUCUAGCAAUGAGUUCCAUCCGCAGUGAGUCACAAAACCUCCAAUGGCUUCAUGAUCAAGGAUUAGCACCUGGGGUGCCCAUCCUUUUAUUAUCAAACCUCGUCCCUUCAGCUUUUCCUCAAAUCCUUUUGGCAUCCACUCAUACUGCUCUUCAUUGAUUGUAGUUUGUGUCACUGCCCAGAUAAACUGUUGGCCAGAAGACUCAAGAGCCAUUGCUAUCUCAAGCAACUGAGCCGAUGAAAAGACUGCCAUACUGCCAAAACUUAUAUAAAUGACUGAUUUUGUUUCCUUGGUAUUGAGCCAAUCCAAACACUGCUGCUCACAAAAGGAGGUGUCUUGGCCUCUUUGGGCUUUAUCUUCAUUGUUUUUGCUGCAGAGUGAAACUGGACCAACGUGCCAUGCUUUUCUUCCUUCCGCUUCCCUGUAGUGUUUUACAUAAUUUGGCUCCAGCUCAUAAAAGCUGUUUACGAUAGCUCCAUAACAAGUCAUUUCUGCUCUCAUAAUAUUCCUAACAAUUUCAGUUAUUUGGCUUUCUGUUUCAUCCUUUAAAUGGUCUGGGAUUUGUUGUCUUGACAUCUUUAUUGUGUCAGGAAGGCCAGGGAUAAUGAACUCUUCCGUCUCAGAUUCAACCUUCAAAUGAGGUUUGUGUUCCAUCAAACUGUGUAAAGCACAAAGAGGGAAAAAACCUGUGCCGUUGAAAAAUAGUCUUGGAAUCCCCAGCUUGGCAGCA